AUCCCAUUCCCCCUUACUGCUUUUCUCUGUUCUUGUCCCGCGGCGAGUUCCUCCGUGCUGCCGCUCAACCUCCCGGCUCCGCCUUACUGCUCUCCUCCGAUCCCCAGCCGCCGCGACGUCCUCCGCUCCCCUGCUCACCCGCUCAUGGGCUCGGGAACCCCUCACUGCUAUCCUCUGAUCCAUUGCCGCGGCGACGUCAUCCACGCCCCUGCACGCGCCCCCGCAGGAACCCUAGCCGCCAUGGUUUGCUAGCGCGGCUCCCACGUCUCCUCUCGUUUGUCUGCCCACUACCCCGCGUGCGGCUGCCGGCUCGGGCUCGGCCGUGCUGUUCCACAUCGAGUCCUUGACCGUCCUGUUCCACAUCCUCGACUACCUCGACCGAUGGCAGACGGUUCAGUUUUCAGAUGUUCAAAUUCCAAUCUGUUUAUCUACAGGCUGCAGAGACAACAACGCUUCUGUGGUCACAGGCUCAAAAUUACCGCCUGUUCUGAAGUUGACUACGUGCUUCAGCCAACAUGUGUUUGUUUGUUCUUUCUCUUAACAGGUAUAUCUUCUGGACUUGUGCAUACUGCAAUUAAGAGAUAUAAAAAUCAACACUUAUAUAAAGAGGCCCUAAAAAUAAUUUAAAGCCUCUGGAAAAUUUAAAUACUGAACUAUGUAUGUAUAAUCAAGAUUAUUGGUUACCUAUUAUCAUUUAAUUGGUUCCAGAAUUCAUAUCAUUGUUCACAUAUAUAAUGUUUAGAUAAUCAUUUCUGUAGUAAAUACAUGCUGAUGGUUCAAAAUGAAUAGGCUCAUCCAAUUGUUCAAACAUCUUAGUGUUUUAAUAUGCAGCUUCUGAUCUGAACGAGUUCAGAACUCGUGCAAGCCGCAGCUGAGACAAUAGAAUGUUAUCAGUUUGCAGGAAUUUUCAAGACUUGAAGUCUCUGUGUUUGUACUUCAUAGCAUGGUGAUGUCCCAUCUGCUAGUGUUUAGUAUGAUGAUUCAUAUAGUAAGGUUAUGCAAGAUGCAAAAUUUAUUUAGUACACAGAUAUAGGUUGCAUCUGCAUUUUUAUUAGUAAACUCCUGUUGAUUUUUUUUGUAUUCACAUUAUUAGUUAGCCCCACUUCUAUAUGUAAAUCAAUGUGUAAGUCAUAUUUGUGAGCAUGUAUCACAAUACCUAAUUUAGACACACCCAAAUUUAGCCAGGUGCGCAUUAUUUUCUUUUAAGUACAAUAUCUACAUGAUUUUUUAAGGGGUUCCUCGUGUCUUACUUAGUAUGUUCUUUUGAGGUUUAUGUUACUCAGUCGACAUAUAACAUUUUGUUCAUAGGAAAACAAGAAUCAAAAGUGUUUGUCAGAUGUAGGCUAGUACUCUCCCUUUUUUUGACAGAAUAGUACUAUUUCUUUCUACAUACAGAGCUAGUAAUGUCAUGACCCUCAACCUUUCUUUGCCUUCGCCAUAACUUUCUGCUCUAUUGAUACUCUGUAUCAUAAGUUACUAAUCUUAUUCCUUUGUUUUUCUAGAUUGCCAAGAUAAAUUCAAGAUGCAUGGAUGUUGAUUGCAAGGUCAAGAAUGGCUGUUUUACCAGAUAAUUAGAAUGCCGUUUUCAAGUGUAAUGUUUCAAACAAU
rnacentral:rRNA from 1 species